rnacentral:lncRNA from 1 species
AGCUCGGACCCGCGCCCCCGCCCCCGCCCCGCGCAGGACAGCCCCGGGAUCCCCGCCCGCGCGCCGCGUCCCACGUACCCCGCCGCGCCGGGCAAGAAGAUGGCGGGAUCAGUGGCCGACAGCGAUGCCGUGGUGCUUUGCAAUCAGCUUGACCUGUGGGGACUCAGAAGACCCUCCUGCCGAUGUGGCAAUCGAACUCAAAGCUGUGUUCACAGAUCGGCAGCUACUCAGAAAUUCUUGUAUAUCUGGGGAGAGGGGUGAAGAACAGUCAGCAAUCCCUUACUUUCCAUUCAUUCCAGACCAGCCAUUCAGGGUGGAAAUUCUUUGUGAGCACCCACGUUUCCGAGUGUUUGUGGAUGGACACCAACUUUUUGAUUUUUACCAUCGCAUUCAAACGUUAUCUGCAAUUGACACCAUAAAGAUAAAUGGAGACCUCCAGAUCACCAAGCUUGGCUGAUUUAAACCACCU